CCUACGGGUGGCAGCAGUGAGGAAUAUUGGUCAAUGGACGAGAGUCUGAACCAGCCAAGUAGCGUGAAGGAUGACUGCCCUAUGGGUUGUAAACUUCUUUUAUAUGGGAAUCAAACGUUCCACGUGUGGGAUUUUGUAUGUACCAUAUGAAUAAGGAACGGCUAACUCCGUGCCAGCAGCCGCGGUAAUAAGGAGGAUCCGAGCGUUAUCCGGAUUUAUUGGGGUUAAAGGGAGCGUAGGUGGAUGGUUAAGUUAGUUGUGAAAGUUUGCGGCUCAACCGUAAAAUUGCAGGUGAAACUGGCAGUCUUGAGUACAGUAGAGGUGGGCGGAAUUCGUGGUGUAGCGGUGAAAUGCUUAGAUAUCACGAAGAACUCCGAGUGCGAAGGCAGUUCACUGGACUGCAACUGACACUGAGGCUCGAAAGUGUGGGUAUCAAACAGGAUUAGAUACCCCUGUAGUC
rnacentral:rRNA from 1 species